rnacentral:rRNA from 1 species
AAGGCUUCCAAGAAAAACCUCUAAGCUUCAGAUUAUAAGAACCCGUACCGUAAACCGACACAGGUAGUUGGGAUGAGAAUUCUAAGGUGCUCGAGAGAUUCAUGGCUAAGGAACUAGGCAAAAUAGACGCGUAACUUCGGGAGAAGCGUCGCCCAUCUUCGGAUGGGCCGCAGUGAAAAGGUCCAGGCGACUGUUUAUCAAAAACACAGGGCUUUGCUAAAUUGAAAGAUGAUGUAUAAGGCCUGACACCUGCCCGGUGCUGGAAGGUUAAGAGGAGCGCUUAGCAUUA